rnacentral:tRNA from 1 species
GCCUGGUUGGCUCAGUCAGUAGAGCAUGCAACUCUCAAUCUCAGGGUCAUGAGUUCAAGCCCCAUGUUGGGCA